rnacentral:rRNA from 1 species
UACGGGGGGGGCAAGCGUUGUUCGGAAUUACUGGGCGUAAAGGGCUCGUAGGCGGUCUGUCGCGUCGGUCGUGAAAACUUGGGGCUUAACCCUGAGCUUGCGGUCGAUACGGGCAUGACUGGAGUUCGGCAGGGGAGACUGGAAUUCCUGGUGUAGCGGUGAAAUGCGCAGAUAUCAGGAGGAACACCGGUGGCGAAGGCGGGUCUCUGGGCCGAUACUGACGCUGAGGAGCGAAAGCGUGGGGAGCGAACAGG